rnacentral:lncRNA from 1 species
AACCCUCUUGAAUCACCACUCUCUUAUAUAGCAUGAACUCUUCAAGACAAUCUCGCCUUGAGCAAAACUCCCCAAGAGUUCGGACUUUAUCAGGAUAGCCUAACCCUGAGCUACACUCCCCUGUCUAGACUUCAACCUCUAAGUCUCUGAAGGUACGUCACCAACUACUUCACCAAGUACGUCACCGAGUACGUCAACACCUAAUGCACACCGAAGAUACCAACGAGCACGUCAACCCCAACGCACAACUUGGUCACCACAACACAACGGAAAAUUCCGCCACACGUAAUGUUAGCACCAACGUCACAACACCAAGUACAACGGACACUCCGUCAUACACUAUGUCAACACCAACGUAAAC